rnacentral:rRNA from 1 species
UGGGGAAUAUUGCACAAUGGGCGCAAGCCUGAUGCAGCGACGCCGCGUGAGGGAUGACGGCCUUCGGGUUGUAAACCUCUUUCAGCAGGGACGAAGCGCAAGUGACGGUACCUGCAGAAGAAGCACCGGCCAACUACGUGCCAGCAGCCGCGGUAAUACGUAGGGUGCGAGCGUUGUCCGGAAUUACUGGGCGUAAAGAGCUCGUAGGCGGUUUGUCGCGUCGUCUGUGAAAUUCUGCAGCUUAACUGCAGGCGUGCAGGCGAUACGGGCAGACUUGAGUACUACAGGGGAGACUGGAAUUCCUGGUGUAGCGGUGAAAUGCGCAGAUAUCAGGAGGAACACCGGUGGCGAAGGCGGGUCUCUGGGUAGUAACUGACGCUGAGGAGCGAAAGCGUGGGUAGCGAACAGGAUUAGAUACCCUGGUAGUCCACGCCGUAAACGGUGGGUACUAGGUGUGGGUUCCAUUUCACGGGAUCCGUGCCGUAGCUAACGCAUUAAGUACCCCGCCUGGGGAGUACGGCCGCAAGGCUAAAACUUAAAGGAAUUGAC